CACUAUCGUUAACUGAAUACAUAGGUUAACGAGGCGAACCGGGGGAACUGAAACAUCUAAGUACCCCGAGGAAAAGAAAUCAACCGAGAUUCCCCCAGUAGCGGCGAGCGAACGGGGAGCAGCCCAGAGUCUGAAUCAGCUUGUGUGUUAGUGGAACGGUCUGGAAAGUCCGACGGUACAGGGUGAUAGUCCCGUACACCAAAAUGCACAGGUUGUGAACUCGAAGAGUAGGGCGGGACACGUGGUAUCCUGUCUGAAUAUGGGGGGACCAUCCUCCAAGGCUAAAUACUCCUGACUGACCGAUAGUGAACCAGUACCGUGAGGGAAAGGCGAAAAGAACCCCGGCGAGGGGAGUGAAAAAGAACCUGAAACCGUGUACGUACAAGCAGUGGGAGCACCUUCGGGUGUGACUGCGUACCUUUUGUAUAAUGGGUCAGCGACUUAUAUUCUGUAGCAAGGUUAACCGUAUAGGGGAGCCGCAGGGAAACCGAGUCUUAACUGGGCGUUAAGUUGCAGGGUAUAGACCCGAAACCCGGUGAUCUAGCCAUGGGCAGGUUGAAGGUUGGGUAACACUAACUGGAGGACCGAACCGACUAAUGUUGAAAAAUUAGCGGAUGACUUGUGGCUGGGGGUGAAAGGCCAAUCAAACCGGGAGAUAGCUGGUUCUCCCCGAAAGCUAUUUAGGUAGCGCCUCGUGAACUCAUCUUCGGGGGUAGAGCACUGUUUCGGCUAGGGGGUCAUCCCGACUUACCAACCCGAUGCAAACUACGAAUACCGAAGAAUGUUAUCACGGGAGACACACGGCGGGUGCUAACGUCCGUCGUGAAGAGGGAAACAACCCAGACCGCCAGCUAAGGUCCCAAAGUCAUGGUUAAGUGGGAAACGAUGUGGGAAGGCACAGACAGCCAGGAUGUUGGCUUAGAAGCAGCCAUCAUUUAAAGAAAGCGUAAUAGCUCACUGGUCGAGUCGGCCUGCGCGGAAGAUGUAACGGGGCUAAACCAUGCACCGAAGCUGCGGCAGCGACACUAUGUGUUGUUGGGUAGGGGAGCGUUCUGUAAGCCUGCGAAGGUG
rnacentral:rRNA from 1 species